rnacentral:rRNA from 1 species
GACGAACGCUGGCGGCGUGCUUAACACAUGCAAGUCGAGCGGUAAGGCCCUUUCGGGGUACACGAGCGGCGAACGGGUGAGUAACACGUGGGUGACCUGCCCUCAGCUCUGGGAUAAGCCUGGGAAACCGGGUACUAAUACUGGAUAUGACUCCAUGACGCAUGUUGGUGGGGUGGAAAGCCUUGUGCGGCUGAGGAUGGG